UACGGGGGGGGCAAGCGUUAAUCGGAAUUACUGGGCGUAAAGCGUACGCAGGCGGCUAUGCAAGACAGGUGUGAAAUCCCCGGGCCUAACCUGGGAACUGCAUUUGUGACUGCAUGGCUAGAGUUUGUCAGAGGGAGGUGGAAUUCCACGUGUAGCAGUGAAAUGCGUAGAUAUGUGGAGGAACACCGAUGGCGAAGGCAGCCCCCUGGGAUGUGACUGACGCUCAUGUACGAAAGCGUGGGGAGCAAACAGG
rnacentral:rRNA from 1 species